GCGGGUGUCGUGGAAUCGGUAGACACAUCAGACUUAAAAUCUGACGAUGAAUAAUCGUGCCAGUUCAAGUCCGGCCACCCGCACCA
rnacentral:tRNA from 1 species